rnacentral:tRNA from 1 species
GGUUAGCUCAGUUGGUAGAGCAUCUCGUUUACACCGAGGGGGUCAAAGGUUCUUUUCCCUUGCUAAUCA